ACUGACGCUAAAGCUCGAAGGUGCGGGUAUCGAACAGGAUUAGAUACCCUGGUAGUCCGCACGGUAAACGAUGGAUGCCCGCUGUAUGCGACAGACAGUAUGCGGCCAAGCGAAAGCGUUAAGCAUCCCACCUGGGGAGUACGCCGGCAACGGUGAAACUCAAAGGAAUUGACGGGGGCCCGCACAAGCGGAGGAACAUGUGGUUUAAUUCGAUGAUACGCGAGGAACCUUACCCGGGCUUGAACUGCAGGAGAACGAUUCAGAGAUGAUGAGGUCCUUCGGGACUCCUGUGGAGGUGCUGCAUGGUUGUCGUCAGCUCGUGCCGUGAGGUGUCGGCUUAAGUGCCAUAACGAGCGCAACCCCUUCCGUCAGUUGCCAUCACUUUGGGUGGGCACUCUGGCGGUACUGCCACCGUAAGGUGUGAGGAAGGUGGGGAUGACGUCAAAUCAGCACGGCCCUUACGUCCGGGGCUACACACGUGUUACAAUGGGUGGUACAGAGAGUCGGUCGGAUGCAAAUCCGAUCCAAUCAUGAAAGCCAUCCUCAGUUCGGAUUGGGGUCUGCAACCCGACCCCAUGAAGCUGGAUUCGCUAGUAAUCG
rnacentral:rRNA from 1 species